rnacentral:lncRNA from 1 species
GGCCUUGCUGCCACAGAGUCUGCCGUAGGUGUCUCUCUUCUGUUGAAAUGUAAGGAGUACCUGCCAGGACCCGGGGCUCUCCAAGGUCUAUAUUGCAGACACAUUCCUCUCCGGAGAAGCACUCUUAUUGAAGAAUAUGUUCCCUCUUCAGACGGAAAACAAGACAAGAUCAGAUCUAGGAGACAAGAAAUAUGCAUUUUGCAAGCCCAUUGGGUAUUCCAGACAAAAUUAGCGUCAUGAAAUGGAAGAGAGGAUGUGAAUGGGGGUAGAUGGCGAGCCACCUGAGCUGAUAAUCGUGUAUUAUUUAGCAGGUGCAGAUGUGAAUAUUCACACCGUUGGACACUUUCCACUUUCAGCAUGUGCAUGCGUACGCGCACAAGCUAAUGGAGUCUGUGGAAAGUGGUCAUGCAUUUUUGUCAAAAAAAUCAAGGCAAAGUCACACAUUUGAAUCGCCAUCUGGAAAUUGGCUGCAACAUUGCUCAGCCCCAAACCUCCAGGUAACACAAAGGAUCUACUCAGCAAUGCAAAUUAGCAGCGAGGAAAUUUGAGGGAGUGUCCGCAGAGGCUGAAUACAAGGCCAAAACAUUUUAUUCCAAUGUUUCGAAUGCUCAUUCAUUUGCCAGAUUGGACACGCAGAGGCUGCCCCCGGCCCUGGAAAUAAUGGUCUUAACGUAUUCAGGCAGACUUUGAAGACAAAUUGGUGCUGAAGGAGCACAAACGCAAAUCCAUAACCAUUCUACAUCUUCUUAGAAUAUUUUUCACCUCCUUAUCAACUCUUACCGAAGCACCUCCGCUGAGUACGGUGUAAUCUUCUAAUCUCUCUCCCUUAGGCCACACAUAUCCAGGUAUGUGUAGUUAGAUCUGUAGUGAAGCAGCCAGAUUCAUCCUGAGAUAAACUGGGACAACAUGAUGAAUAGAUAAUAAAGGCACCCAGGGGAGAGCGCUAUCCGGGUUAACUCCACUGCAUAAAGAUACCAUUUGUAAUGAUGGCUUGGAAUCAACAGGGAAGUGCAGUGAGCACAGCUAACUGGGCUCCAAAGUGACCAAAUCAGUCCUGACUUUGCUGAUGCAGCAGAUGGGAGAGUACAAACCAAUUGUGGCUGUGACAACAACAAGCAGGGUGAUGAAGUACCAGCGAGCAGCCUAUCUGGGUCUCACCUGCUCGCAACAGCUACAGGCUACUGAGUGCUAAACACAAACAGCUGAACAGUGAGUUGAAGCGUGUUGAAAUGUCAAUCUUUGCAGUGUCAAUGAGGUCGGGUGAUUUAUUGGGAGUUCAGGCUCUGACCUCUUCACUCUCUGAAAGCUCAGUGGAGACCGCAGGCAGUAAUGAACUUCUAUUCCAAAGAUACAGAGUCUGAUGGCAGCUAAUAUGUGAGGCAUCUCUUGUGUGGCUUCACCUCUGCUAGACACCUUAGACAACCCCGACAUCAGCCAACUCACAGAUGAAGGACAUAUGACAAUGGAGAUCAACCUUUAACCAGUUCAGAACUAUCAAAUUUAGUCUGGAACAAUAAAAACAAAGCAAAUGAAAUCAGAAGGAGCAAAAUAAUUCAGUUUGACGGUUUGUUCUCAAGCUUAAAGGGAUAUUCUGGCGUGAAAUUAAUUUAGGGUCAAACAUACCGUAACACCGAGUUAGACACCCCCUCAAGAGAUGAAUGUUGCCAACCGCUUGCUUCUCUAGUUAUACCAACUUGAGUAACAACCGCAGGAUAGCAAUACACAGCAGUCUGAGGAGCCAUAAACAAACCUCCACCGAAAUGCCACUCUAUAGCCACAAAUAAUGCUCAGAACAGCACCUAACUUCAUCACCAGUACAAAUAGAGUCCCAGCCAUAGUACUACUACAUAGCCACCGAACAUCUUUUUAGCUUUGACUGAUUUAUUUAGAAAAGAGACUAAACACAACUCACCCACUCUCCUCCAGCAGCCGUUUGUUUGUAGCAAGGGCCAGUCCAUUACCGACUGCUGCGAGUUGCUUUAUCUGAGGAUCCUUUCAAGUAGUUGUGGGCAUUUUUCACAUCACCUACAAGAGGAAAUAAGGGGAGCAGAGAGGGGAAGGCAGAUAUGUUACAAAUGGUUGUAGCUGGGAGUUAAACCAGCAACUGCAAUGCAUACAGUGGCCUAUUUUAUGCUAUAUUUAUCAAUUUGGGAUUUAAAAAAAAAAGUUUACUCCAGUCUGCACCAUCAUUUCCUAACUGAAACUAGGUACAAAUCACAAACUAAUAAUUUUAGAUUAGUAACUAGGCUAUACAAGUAAGACUAUAUGCUAUAUGAACAGUUUAAAAAUAAAAAAGUGUGUUUCUUUUGCCCAAGAAUCAGCAAUUUAAUUUCUAAUUCAGUGAAGCUAGUAGCCGAACAUCCAUGGAGACCACUACAUCGCUAACAGCUAUGUGGCUACAAACACAAGAAAGACAAACCUUAAUAGAGUAGACUAUUAAUCUAUUCAUUUAUUUACUUUCUUACCUUAGUCAGUAAAAUACUUGAGCAGUCUUCUGCGAGUUUUGAGGCCGUUUAGUGCCGUACGCCUGUAGGGCUGAAUAUAGCAGUCCGCUGCAAUGUUUAACCUCGCCGCUAGAUGUCACCGAUUCUCCCAAACCACCACUUUUCUAUGAAACCAGAGGAAGAAACAACUCUAAAAGGGAGAUAAAACAUGGGGUUUAUUCGUUUAAAUGAUCACAUUUAAUCACAGAAAGAUGAUGGUGAGUAAAAGACACACUUAAACAACAAAACACAUCAAAACGAGGUCUGAGACAGUUGUAGCAUAGUUAGCCUAGGAGCUAACCGAGGUCACCAUGACACGCCAGAGACACUCCAGCACGUCUGCUAAGAAGACAAGCUGUUUAUUUAAGAAGUUUAUUUAUGCAGUGAAGCAUCCUUAAUCCCAAAUUUAAGCUUUGUAAGAAGAAUGGAGUCAUUAAGAGGUGUGGAAUUAAUUUUGAGACAAAUGCCCAAAGUCCAGAGAUAAGUUCUGGUCUGUGCAGCUGAUGCAUGACUAGCAAGUUGGGUCCGAGACCUCCUGGAGUCUGGAUAUUAAAGCUUUUAUUCAUGUUGGUUGUAUCAGUAAAAGUUUGAAUCACAGGUUUACCAAGUUUGCAAAUGAAUUCAGUUUGAAAAUACCUCCUUACAGCCAUGGGUGGGUGGUAGAAGUGAGUGGAGAGUGACAUGUGGGAUGCCUUCCCCUGCUUUGUCAGUGUGUCAGGUGUGUUGAAGAAAUUCAUAUCAAGAAGUUUGUCUUGUCCGCAGGUGGCAGCACAGUUUCACGCCUGAUGCCUUUUCUUUCCAUCCAUAUCACCAGGACCUGCAACAAUAGGAUCUGACAAGCCGUGUUCUAGAAAUUAGGAUGCAUGCCAGGCCGUCAACGCCAGCAAGCCAUAAAUGUUUCAUGUGGUGCUGAUAUGGUAAUCAUUGGAUCCCUACAAUGACACCUUGUGAGAGUUGGAUAACGAUGGCUGUCUUUCAGGCUUGUGUGACUCUGGAUACGGUCCAACAGCUGAGGCACAGCCUGAGGAGUGAAUCAGCCGGUUAAAAGUGCCUGCAAUAGGUGGAUAAAACUCUUAAAGGUGAGUGAAUAAAAGGUGCAGCAGGCAUCCUUUUGGCAUCGUACAGGGGCGGCUAGAGGAAGACGCCACACAAAUGCAUUCCUCCGAGUUAAAUAUGCAUCCCGUUUCAUGAGGUUUGCAAGUGGGUCCAGGUGCCCAUUGGUGGCACAGACCCAGCUGGAGGAUGUGGCAGUCUCGCUCUGCUGGCGCUCAGGCUGGCAUACUAACAGAGCCAGGGGUGCUUUCACAGUGAGUUGAAAGACACCCAGGGUUCAGAAAACACAACUCCAGCUGCAUGUCCACUUGCUCGCUAAAGCUGAAGAGUCUUGAAAUCUAAAAAAGUGAAUUUUCAUUCCUGACAGGAAUAUUGAUCUCAUGGUAUUAACAACCAGCAUCUCCCUGUCAUGUUGCACAUGAGAUCCAGUGAGAUUAACGGUCACAGGGGGAAAUAAAGACAUUUUCCAAUCACGAGGGAUGAAGCAAUAAAAGGCCAGCAUGUCUAAAAGAGCUUAAUGUAUUAUUUCUGUGAAGCUUGUGUAAGCCUUUUAUUAACGUGAAACAAUCUUGUCAGACACCUGUUGUUUCUGCAUGGGGGUAUUUAUUGUCGGACUGUGUCAGCACACUGUAAUCCCUGGCUGGAACAUGGCUGUAUUACCAGAGUGACCUAUUCUUGGUCAUCAUAAUUUCCUCAGCGUUUGUGUGUGAGUGGAGAAAGAGAGAUGGCGUUGAGCAUGUAUUUGUGUGUGUGUGUGGAGUCAUUGCAGGCACCCUUCAGCCGUUUCAAUGAAGGUUUUUUUUUUUUCUUUUUCCCUGACACCCAAUGUCAUGCAGAACAAAUCGCCUAUUGCUGACACCAGUGAUUUCUUGUCUCCAGUGCUGAGAAGUGUGUGUGGAGGCAAAACAGUUGGGUCUUACUGACGUGGGGACUUGGACAGUUCUGUGAUUAAGUGGUAAUGGCCCAGGACGUGACAGAGAAACAGGGGAUUUCAUCGGUCACGGGGCAAGAAAAACUGCACACCCAUGUGUCUGUGGGCUAUUUUUGAGGGAGUAGAUAAUCAUUUCUCAGAUUUCUUUCUCUGUAACUCCUCAUCUCUGUAUAAGAAUCACCUUAAAUUUCAGUUUUUAGUGACUGAUCAUCAUGAGGGAUAUUAGAGCUUUAAAACAAGCAUGACUCUAUGCCGCGCCUGCCUUAAAUUCCAAUGUCUGCCUGCGGGCUUAACCCACUAAUUGUGGCCUGAGUCCCUUGGGUACCAAUAUUGUUGCAUGCUUGUGGCAGGGUUUAAGGGCACAGUUAUAUUAAGACCUGCGUAUUUUAACAUCUAUUAUGGAAUGCACUAUCAGCUCAGAUAAUCAGGGUUGUGCGCAGACUGAUUUAUGUGUUGUUGAGGUGUAGUGUUUCACUCUUGGGAGGGAGUCGGUGUCAUCGUGUUGCACAGUGUGAGACGGUGUUUAUGGAGCUAAAAAAGGAUGGGAAUAAACAGUCAUUAAAAUGUGAUGUUUCUUCUGCAGUGUGUAACACUUAAGUGAAUGUUUUCAGAUUGGCACUGUGGCAUUUAAGGUGGUUGCUUUGUGAGGUAAAAAUGAUGUUAUGGGGACAUCUGCUGGACAACUGCAGGCAUGAGAAGGAGUGUUUUGUUUUUUAUUUCCAUCUUCUGGUAUACCCCUAAGAUCAAUUCUUUGGUGGCUUGUUGGGAUUGAAUGACUUUGCUUGGAUAAUUAUGUUUUUUUCUGUAAAGACUGUGAUCAAAACUAAUGGUUUGUUUACAUGGGACUGCAUGAUAUUGAGGGGAAAAUGAGAGUGUGAUGAGAAAUUACAGCCAUUUGCAAUUCUUGUGAUGUACAGGUGAUCAGAGGAGAGCUCAAGAACCAUUAUCCUGACCCUGAACAACACCAAGAAUUUGUCCAGGGGAAACCUGUGAGCAGCCUCUACCUCAGUCAUCCAAGGUAAGAAAUGCAGUCACCUGAUUAUUGACUUGAUAGAUAUUCAGUAUCAGCAUAUCAGAUAUCCUUUUAUUUUGGACUAAACAGACACUGAUGAAUCUGAAGGUAGCUGUGCGUGCAGGGUGAAAAGCACUGACUGUUUACUUGUAUGUAUUUCAGUGCAUUAGUUGUGAUUGUUCAUAUGACAAAGAUAAUGGUACUGAAAAUCAUUUUGCUGCCCCAGCAUGAGGCAUUUUACUAUUUUUGCUCCAACUGUACAGGAUGUAAACCUGUCUGAGAAAUUUGAACUUGCCUUCAAAGUCAGUGGGAAAAGUCUAUAUUUAACUUUUUUGAAACAACAUGAUGUAAAGAUGCCUUUCAGUAACUAUGAAUAUGUUAGACUGGUCAAUUUACCGCGCUGGCCCUUUAAUAACAGGCUUUUAGGAGGCAUCUGGCACAAAUAUAGUUGAAAUAACUUAGCUUUUGCAAUAACUAACGCAGUGUUGUUUCAUAAAAUCAUGCUGGAGACGCCUGUAGAGAACCCCAAUGGAAGCUAGCUUAUCAAUCAUUGCUGAUGGAGUCAACAUUACCACAUCAUUUAGCUCAUCUUAGGAAAUUUAAACUGAAAAAGUGAACUCUUGUGUAAGCAUAUGCUUUAUUUUGAAAAUUUAAGCGUUUCACUUUUCCCAUUUGUUUUUGGACUAUUUUUAGACAUGACACCAAGUGUUCCUUGGCCUGCAGUGCUGUGCUAACAGGAGGGCAGAGAGUUCCCUAGUGACCUGGUGGUGCAGUUGUGUAAACUCAAACUGUGAUCCCAUACCCACAAACUUGAAGGAGCUGCUGUUGUCACAAAUCGUUUUACCAACUUUCUUCAAUUUUUAGAAGUCAGAGACACGUGACGGCACUUUUUAAAGUUGGAUUUCGUCCCUCUCUCUCUUUCUUUUAAUUGCAUUUUGACACGACCCACGGUCAGCAGAUUAUGUUCAGACUAUCAAAAUACACUGUGUGAGUCAGAUAGGGAGGGGAAACCUGAGCUGAAAGAGGAAACUUUAAACCAUUACUUUAUAACCCCGAUACUGUUCAGCAUGCGGUUUAAACUGAUCUCAAACUGAGAUGCAAAAAUCAAUCACCAAUCAGUCUUUAAGUGCUUUACAUAGCAGAGGAAUAAAAGAAACAAAGAAAACCCUAAUCUACCCAAACCCAACCCCUCAUUCCCACCCCGCAAUCUAAGCACAAUAGAAACGUGUAUUAAAAUGCAUGAACUUAAAAAGGGCUCGAUUUCAUAUAAACAGGAUAACAGGAUAGCUCAAUAAAAGAUAAUCCUGUCUUUAUCAUAUAUCAAAGUAUACCAGUGUAGUGGAUAAAAUUCAAGCUGACUCAUACAUUAUAGACCCAGUUAGUAGGUGUGUCCCAAAUCGCAUACCUCCAUACUAAACACUUAAAAUUUUGAGUAUACUCAACUCAAAAUGGAAAAAAGUAUGGAUAGUAUGCCAAAAUUAAGUAUGCAAAAGUACCCAGAUGAUGCACUCAAAUCAGUCAAGAUUCUGAGUAUGCGACUGUGGACACUUGCCCGCACUCAUUUCAUCGGUAAGAAUGGCUGCAGACGGCUGUGGUGCCAUUGGGUCGGCGACAGUCGACCUGGGAGCUUUGUACAGAUGUAAGUAAUAAGUUACCUUUAUAUAUUUUAUAUGAAUAUUUUAGAUUUUAGAUUUAAUAUAUAAAAUACAUUUAAAAAGUAGUUUUUUGUAAAUAGUUUUUUUUUCCAGUUUUAAAUACUGAAUUUGUAAAUAGUUUAUCUUUAAUUACUGAGUUCCAAAUGUCUAAUAUGUAAAUAGGGUAUCCUUAGUAUUCAUGUUCUAAAUUUUUUUAUAUGUAAAUAGUUUGUUAUUUUUCUGUUAUGCGCAAUAAAUGUUCAGACAUGAAGCAAAUCACAUCGUCAGUAUGUGAUUUGGGACAGCACUUACCCUUGAAACUUGCGCACUACGCAAUUGAGUACAUAGUAUGCUUAUUUUACUCAAUUUGAAAAAUCUAAGUGUUUAGUAUGGAAGUAUGCGAUUCAAUGCUUUGCAGGUGGAGGGACACAUAUGUGUCACUCCUGUUGGAGGUUACAGUAGAGCCUGAGGACCACAUGUAAUAACCAGGACUAUAUAUAUGCUCAGAUUUGGCCCAUAUACAGACGCUGAUACCUGGGCUUUGAGUACCAGUCAUUACAAGUUGAUACCCAUGAUUUACACUAGUCUAAAAUGAUAUUUAUGGAAAAUGACUGUGUGUGUUUGGUAGGCUUCAAAAUGAGUAUUAUUAUGUAAUCUGGGACUUGACUUCUGUGCACUGCAUAACCACUUGGAAAAUACAAGCACUGCAUGAUGGGUAAUGUUUUUGGGCGGAUUCCGUGUUCCUCGAGGUCCUUACAUAACCU